ACCCAUAAAAAAUAAAGACCAAUUGAAAAUUUGCUGACAAUUGCUUAUUCUGUAACAUACUUAAAAUUAAUUAAAAGGUGAUCCAACCCCCUUUAAUCAAAAAGGGAAAUAUUUCCUGAUAUAUUACCAUUCGUUGCUAUGCUAAUCCCCCAGGCCCAAUUCAUAGUAAAUCUCUUCAUAACUUGCAAUAAUGUGAUAAUGAUAUUUGCUUAGGUGUUAGGAACGAUAUCACUUGUCUUAUGAAGAAGCCCAGAGGAAUGGGACUGUUUACAAACAAUGGUGCUACACUAAGGUCGCUUUAUACACCGCACACAGGAGCGACCCAUGUGAUUUUACUUCUACAUAGGGUUAAUUGUACUGAUUGCCUAUUCAUUGCAAUACUGGAGGAAUGGGCAUAGCUAUGUUUAAGGGCUAAAAGACACUGUUGGGAUAGCCAUUCACCCAUAUUACAGUAUUAUAUAUUAUUUGUUAAAUCGCUGUUUAUUAGAUUGGUUACCAUGCUACACACAGGUCUCAUUUACUUAUGCAGCCAGUGCAAUUUUCAUGCAAUUUUUAAUGCAAAAUGCAGAAUUCCUGUACACACCAAGCUGCUUUCAUUGCAUCUGAACCAAUAUGCACAAUAGUGUCUGUUUUGGUAAAUAGUACAUAAAUGCUGGUGCGCACUAUAUUCCCCAGCAUUAGCGAUUUGACUGAUAUACUGGAAUAGGUCAGUUGUGGCUGCCGGUGCAAUUCACUUAGGGAACCCUGCAAUUUCCGCCGUGUCCAGGCUGCUGGGAGUUGCAGGGUUCCCUGGGGUCCAGGCUGGAUAGGUGCAAUAGUAGUCAAUGCAGGUUGCUAGGAGCAUGUAUGCUGUCCUAGCAUGGAGCUGUUGUGAAUAGUGUCAGUAAUGCUCAGUGUUGCAUCAAGGCCGGUGUUAGCCCCUAUGGCAUUACAUUGGGACUCACUUUGCACAUUACACCUGGGCAGUAACCGAUAGCAAAACUGGUGAAAAACAGAUGGGGUGGGGGUUUAGUACUCCUUUAACCAGCAUGGUUUUGAGUAGCCUCCAUACACUACAGUGAUUUGAUCCUAAUUAUACCACUGCAAUGUUAGUGUAUGGGGGGGCUAACGCCUCAAUUUUGGGCUACAUAAAAAUGCAGUGUUUACAGUUACCCAUAAGGGGUUAUAUUCUUAGACCCCUAACAGAAGUGCAAGAACAUUAAUGGGUAGAAAACAGUUAUGUGCGGGUCAGUACAAAGUCAACCCUAACCCAAUAACUUGUCAGUCAAACCCAACUCUAACUGAGUCUCCAUAUUUAUAGACCCGCACCUGACCUGCCCCUCUCUGACAUCACGAAAGGGGUGGAACAUGUGGGCCCAAAUCUAUAAAUACUGACAUCAAAAGUUGGAAGCAGGGCAUUGUAAGGUUGCAGGCAGUGUAGGAGCAUGGAAAACCUCAGCCCGAACCUGCCCACAGGUUUCAGGCAUUGUAAGGUUGCAGGCAGUGUAGGAGCAUGGAAAACCUCAGCCCGAACCUGCCCACAGGUUUCAGGCCAGCCAGCACAUCACUAAUGAAAAAUGUGCCCUUUAGUUCUCAUUCAUACAGCGUGCCUGGGUAGGGUCUGCUUCGGCGCUUAAAGAAUGCAGAACUGGUGGGUACAAGGCAGCCCUGUCUUUUAUGCCCUAGAGAAGGCGGUAAGUACAGGGCCCUGUUGCCAGCUGUGCCUACUCUUGUCAUGCAGGGGACUCCUACUUGCCCCUUGUGAAUACAAUGCGCCAACACAGGCAGCACUAUAUUCAGAGAGAACACAGGAUUCUGGGCUCUGUUUGUGGGUGCAGAGUAGGGUUGCCCGGGUCAAAACUUCCUGCCCGGUUUCCCAAAUUAGGAAAACUGGGCAGGGCUCAGUAACAAUGUUGCAGCGAUUGGCCAAUCGCUGUAUCAUAGCCCCAUCGCGUCAUGGCCCCACCCACACCAUCACGGUCCUGCCUCCUCCACCCAUGACGUCACCCCUGCCCCCUGCCUGGCUAAGCAAGCUGGCAGAGGUGGCAACCCAAGUGCAGAGACCUGCUGCAAUUUCCCCCCCCAAGCCCAGAGCAAAGUGCAAAAAAUAAAGAGCUUAUUAAAGUUUGAUAUCUAUGGUUUGUCUUCCCUGGUAAUAUCUAAUUAGUAUAUAUCUGCACUGUAACUAAGGAACUAUCAUACUUUCCAAACAAAUGUACUGCGGUCGGCAGGAAAUACACACAAAUUUACAUUUCAAUUAAAAAAAAAAAAAAAGGGUGAAAGGGUGGUUUGUUUAUUACGGCACUAAUUAAUCCUGUCAUUUGAAAAACCGUUAGCCAUUAAGCACAAAACAAACAGAUAUUCAAGCUAAUAACCUAUUAUAUCAGCUUCUUCCAACCAUUAAGGAGUAAUGCUUUCACUAAUCAUGUAUUACACUUUCCCUAUCCACGCGGCGAUUCCAUAAAAAGACGCAUUUUUGUCCUUCUUUCUGUGAGCGGUGUAUCGGGUCACGCCGGUAUCAUUAAACCCACUGGAGAAUCAUCUUCCGUAAGAGAUUUGUUUUGUGAGGGGGAAAAAGGAAUGCAAUAAAUAAACCAUGAAAAUCUAAAUCAUAUUUCAUAUUUUAUGCUCCGGAAUCCGUUUGUGCAGAGCAGCGAAGAGGGAUAUGUUAAUUAUGGAACCGCCGUCCCAGCAAAGCCCAGUGCCAAGAUGUGGCUUUUCGCUAAAUCCUUAUUGUAUUCAACAUAAAAUAAUAUUAUCCGCAAAGUUUAUAGUUUUUAUUUUGUACAUUUUCAUAAGAAUACUAUUACUGUCAGAUUUGCCUUUCUGAAUUAAAUAUACAUUUGUGGCAAUAAAAAAAUCACAGACUGGGA